GGACAGUGGUGGUUCAGUGGUAGAAUUCUCACCUUACAUGUGGGAGACCCAGGUUCAAUUCCUGGCCAGUACA
rnacentral:tRNA from 1 species